AAUGCAGCUCAUCUUGGUCCAGAUUUUUUUUGUUGUUGUUUUAUCAUCUUCAGUUAUUUUCUCUGGAUUGUGGACCUUCUACUUUAUUUUAGUAAGUUGCAUUUUGUUUUAUUAAACUAUUUUUUUUGCUCCACUUCUGAUGCCCUUUGUCUGCAUAUGGAUUAUCCACAACCAACCAUAUUUUGUGACUGAUAACUGAACACUUUACUCGGCUUGAUGGUCAGACAGUCCAGUGGUGCCAGUGCAUGGCAGCCUUACCUCUUUCAGAAUGUCUCAGGGCAGCUGUGGCUACAAUCCAAUAGUUUGCCACCAUCUGGUCACCCCUGGCUACAAUCUGUUUGUUUCUUAUCCUAAUAAAAAUACUAAUAAAAGAACUUUUGAAUAUGUUGUAAGCUAAAUUGACCAAUUCAUGAAUAUGCAGUAAACAUUAUUG